CAGAGAGAUUGUCCUCACUUAAGUCAACAAUAGGAAGGUUCUCAAUUCGAGUAUAGCUUACACCAACGCAUACCUGAAGAGCCCCAAAGCUUUAGAGACAUCAAAAGCUAGACAAUGAGGAUUCGUGAGGUUAACAGAGAUCAAACGGUUGCAAUGAUGGAAGAUUCGGAGAAGACAAGGCCAGAUAUUUCUUUCAGAAGGUCAUCUCAGGCGUUAAUUACUGUAAUUCAAUGCAAAUCUACCAUCGAGACUUGAAGCUCUAGAACACUCUGUUGGAUGGGAGCCCUGCCCCUCAGCUGAGAAUCUGUGAUUUUGGUGACUCCAAGUCGUCUCUGCUGCAUUCAAGACCCAAAUCGACAGUCGUAAUGCCAGCAUGUGGGCUUCUUCUCCAUUCGAAUCUCCAUGAUAAAGAGCAACAGGAGAUGCAGAGAGAGAGGGGAAUUGGAUUUUGAUCGACAGAGUAUGUGGAAGGGGGGGUUUAUUUUAUGGGAGAGGGAUAGGUAUGUUAACGGGUUACAAUAGAAUUAGAAAUGCUCGCGGAAAUAUUAGUCAUAGGAUUUGUUCAUCUUAAAUAUAACCGUUGGAUGGAGGUAACAAAUCCAAACUCUCACUCCAUGGUUGCUACACCUUUUCUCUCCCCCUCUUUCUCUCUCCCCGCCACUGCAACUGUGUCGUGCCGCUGCUACUCGAAUAUCAGACCUCUUGUUUUGCUUUUCAAUGGCUCUCUCUCUCUCGGCUUCCCCUCUCCUCAGCCUCUCCUCCAACCCCUUCAUGGGAGAUAGAUUAUUUAUUUGCCAUUGAUCUAUCCCCUUUUUUAUUUCUACCUUUACUCCUCCGUCUUCCUCCUCCUCUUCCUCAUAAAGUUAACCUGCCGACGGUUUGAUCCAGACUCAACUCUAGAUGAUAGUCCCUUCUCUCUCUCUCUCUCUCUCUCUCUCUCUCU